rnacentral:rRNA from 1 species
CCUACGGGAGGCAGCAGUGAGGAAUAUUGGUCAAUGGUCGGGAGACUGAACCAGCAAAGCCGCGUGAGGGAUGAAGGUACAGAGUAUCGUAAACCUCUUUUGUCAGGGAACAGAGGCGGGGACGUGUCCCCGGAUGAGUGUCCCUGUAGAAAACGCAUCCGCAAACUCCGUGCAAGCAGCCGCGGUAAUCCGGGGGCUGCGAGCGUAAUCCGGGUUUAUGGGGUUAAAGGGGUCCGAGGGGGGUCUGUUAAGUCAGAGGGAAAAGCCCGGGGCUCAACCCCGGCCCGCCGUUGAAACUGGCAGUCUCGAGUUGGAGAGAAGUAUGCGGAAUGCGCGGUGUAGCGGUGAAAUGCAUAGAUAUCGCGCAGAACUCCGAUUGCGAAGGCAGCAUGCCGGCUCCACACUGACGCUGAGGCACGAAAGCGUGGGUAUCGAACAGGAUUAGAUACCCCUGUAGUC